rnacentral:rRNA from 1 species
CCUACGGGUGGCAGCAGUCGAGAAUCAUUCACAAUGGGGGAAACCCUGAUCGUGCGACGCCGCGUGGGGGAAUGAAGGUCUUCGGAUUGUAAACUCCUUUCAUGGGGGAGCAAAUUAAAAAGAUAGUACCACAAGAGGAAGAGACGGCUAACUCCGUGCCAGCAGCCGCGGUAAUACGGAGGAUGCGAUCGUUAUCCGGAUUUAUGGGGUUAAAGGGGUGCGUAGGCGGUCCGUUAAGUCAGCGGUAAAAUUGCGGGGCUCAACCCCGGCGGGCCGUUGAAACUGGCAGACUUGAGUUGGCGAGAAGUACGCGGAAUGCGCGGUGUAGCGGUGAAAUGCAUAGAUAUCGCGCAGAACUCCGAUUGCGAAGGCAGCGUACCGGCGCCAGACUGACGCUGAGGCACGAAAGUGCGGGUAUCGAACAGGAUUAGAUACCCGGGUAGUC